AUGAGGGGCCCGUCCCUGGCCCCGUUCCAAACCGAGGCAUUUCUGGCUCAGGCCAUUCCCUCACGUCUGUACAAUGUCUGUCCCCCACCACAGCCAGUAGUGCUGCAGUAGAUUUUUGCUGCACAAAAACUGUGAGCCUUCUGCCUGGGGAACUCCCACAAAAAGUUCCAACAGGGGUCUGUGGACCCUUGCUAGCGGGGACGAUAAGAUUACUUUUAGGAAGGUCUAGUUUAAAUUUAAAAGGGGUACAAAUACAAACAGGAGUCAUUGAUUCAGAUUACAAUGGGGAAAUUCAAAUUGUUAUAUCUACUUCUGUUCCCUGUAAAGCAGAGCCAGGAGAGCGUAUAGCACAGCUCCUGAUUGUGCCGUAUAUGGAAACGGGGAAAAGUGAAAUUAAACUAACAGGAGGAUUUGGAAGCACAACUAAACAAGGCAAAGCAGCUUACUGGGUGAAUCAAAUUACUGAUAAACAUCCUACCUGUGAAAUAACUAUUCAGGGAAAGAAAUUUAAAGGUUUUGUAGAUACAGGAGCGGACAUUUCAAUUAUUUCUCUACAGCACUGGCCAUCCACUUGGCCAGUUCAACCCACUCAAUUUAACAUAGUUGGAGUUGGUAAAGCCCCUGAAGUAUAUCCAAGUAGUUAUAUUUUGCCUUGUGAAGGGCCUGAUGAACAACCUGGGACUAUUCAACCAAUUAUAACUUCUAUACCUAUAAAUUUAUAGGGAAGUGAUUUAUUGCAAUGCUCAGUUAUGAUUUCAUACAGUUGAACAACUGAUGACAAAAACAAAAAAGAGGGAGAAACAGGGAUUACAGGACAGCCCAUAUGUAAUUGAAUCUAACAUUAUUAUCUUUAAACUUUUUUUUUUUUUUUUUUUUUUUUUAACUCAUCCAUGUUUCUGUUUAUAUACAGGAUAACAAAUUCAGGAACAAUGGGAAAGUAAUAUAUGAAACCUUAAUAGGAAAUACAAUAGAGAUUACAAAACACUACCAUUUGAUUUUUUAUGCAAAUACUUCAAUCUUCCAAUAUUUUUACUCACUUGCUAAAUAAAGCACAUGACUCGAAAUCCUAAAUAAUUCUGUUAGUCUAAAUCUUUUAAAGAAUAAAAUGUUGGUGAAAAACCAAAAUUGUUUAGUAAGGUAUGUAUGACCUUGUUUAUUAUCUAUCACAGACAUGAAGAUGAUCAUAGUUAAUACCAAUUUAAGCUUUACAGAAUACUGUUUUAGGCCCAAUAUUGAUAUGUUAAAUGAAGGUAUCAGAGAAUCUUGUAUUUAUGGCAUCAGGUUAUAAAGAUCUAUUCAAAACCAUUUUUGUCAAAGUUUAAACACUGGAGCAAAAGUCAAAUUGUUUCUAAAUGAGACACAAAAUGAUUCUUGCUAAUAAUACAAAUUUUGUCCCAUGGGUAAUACUAUUGUCUUUUUCUUUUUUAAAAAAAUUUUUGAUUUUUAUUUUAGAUUCAGGGAACACAUGGGCAGGUCUGUUAGCUGGGUAUACUGUGUGAUGUUGAGGUUUGGGGUAUGGAUGAUCCUGUCACCCAGGUAGUGAGCAGAGUCCCCAGUAGGUAGUUUUUCAGCUCUUGCUCCCGCUCCCCAACCUACCUCCCCAGUGUCUAUUAUUCCCAUGGGUCCUCAGGUAUUACUAUUUUCAAAUUUUUUUCUUUACAUGAAACUACUGAAAGCAAAAGUAUGUCAUGCUUAUAGGUCACUCUGUACAUUUAUCAUUCUAUUAAUAAACAUCUUAAAUAAUUAUGUAGUAUAUUAAGGCCAUAAACCAAAUCAUUAUCUCCUAUCAAAGGACUACUGUUAUUCAAUCAUCUAGAAAAUUCAUUUUAGGCAGGACUCAGUGGCUCACGUCUGUAAUCUCAGCACUUUGGGAGGCUGAGGUGGGUGGAUCAUGAAGUCAGGAGUUCGAGACCAUCCUGACCAGCAUGGUGAAACCCCGCCUCUACUAAAAAUACAAAAAUUAGCUGGGCGUGGUGGUGUGUGCCUGUAAUCCCAGCUACUCAGGAGGCUGAGGCAGGAGAAUCACUUGAACCCGGGAGGCAGAGGUUGCAGUGAGCUGAAAUUGCGCCAUUGCACUCCAGCCUGGGCGACAGAGAGAAACUCUGUCUU
rnacentral:lncRNA from 1 species